rnacentral:lncRNA from 1 species
GUAAGCCACAGAGGCAGCAUUUCCCCUAGCAAGUCCGUGGGUAAAAGUGUGCGUAUUUGACACAGAUGUUUUUAUUCUUAUCGUGUGCUCUGAUUCUAAAGCACACAAAGCACCGGUGUUCCUAGCUGGCUGCCCUCGCAGAGGGGUAGGUGUGUCCAAGAGCUGUGUGACAAAGCAAUGCGUAUUGCUCUUCAGGUGUCACAGAAAAGUAAACACUGAAAACAAAUGAAUGCACUUGAAAGUCUCUCUUAAAAAAAAAAGAAAGAAAGAAAGAAAAACAAUAUUUACUUAUUUAUUUAGCCCAGAUUCAGCUUGGAAGCAGCUGAUGUGAUUCCCCACUCCUGAGCAGCUGCCCCGUGCGCAGCAGUAAUUUACAGCAGCCGCUACUCUAACGAGGAGGAAGUUGCAAUUUGUAGAGCAAUAAAUACCGAGGCGGUGGGAGGAGCCCCAGGCAGAAAAAUCGCCCUCCUUCUCCAAUUAAAACUCCAUCUUGGCUCCACUGCGGACCGUGAGAAGGUCUCAAAGAAAACACGGUGGCCCCGAUAAGAUAUUCUUCUCACUGAGAAGUGCUAUAUGGUCUCCUCUAGAUGAGAUGUCUGACUAGGAAGGACAGGUGCCAAACCAGAGCAGCAGAAGCAGACAGUGUGAAACUCAGUGAUGCUACUGCCAUCUCCAGCUGUCUUCCUCUCAUGCUCCCCCACAUGCAGCUAGCUUGGAUAGUGGUCAAACCACUGCAACAUUCCCAUGCAACUAAGGCCUUAAAAAGGAUUUUAAAGAUAAAUAUCUCAGUUAAAUACUUAAGCUGCAGCCUGAACCCUAUUGAAGUCAUUGAGACAGGAGAGCAUGCUGCCAGUAAGAUACACUCUGAAGUGUCUUUGUGA